rnacentral:rRNA from 1 species
UACGUAGGGUACAAGCGUUGUCCGGAUUUAUUGGGCGUAAAGCGAGCGCAGGCGGAAAAAUAAGUCUGAUGUGAAAGCCCUCGGCUUAACCGAGGAACUGCAUCGGAAACUGUUUUUCUUGAGUGCAGAAGAGGAGAGUGGAACUCCAUGUGUAGCGGUGGAAUGCGUAGAUAUAUGGAGGAACACCAGUGGCGAAGGCGGCUCUCUGGUCUGUAACUGACGCUGAUGUGCGAAAGCAUGGGUAGCGAACAGG